rnacentral:rRNA from 1 species
CCCUUAGAUGUUCUGGGCUGCACGCGCGCUACACUGAUGCGUUCAACGAGUGUACAACCUUGCCCGAUAGGGUUGGGUAACCUUUUGAACACGCAUCGUGAUGGGGAUUGAGUAUUGCAAUUAUUACUCAUCAACGAGGAAUUCCUAGUAAUGAUGAAUCAUCAGUUCAUCGUGAUUACGUCCCUGCCCUUUGUACACACCGCCCGUCGCUCCUACCGAUUGAGCAAUCCGGUGAAUAUUUCGGACCUAGGAUUGUCGGGGCAACUCGUUCAGUCUUGGGAAAGUCAAGUUAACCUUAUUGCUUAGAGGAAGGAGAANUCGUAACA